rnacentral:rRNA from 1 species
CCUACGGGUGGCUGCAGUGAGGAAUAUUGGUCAAUGGACGCGAGUCUGAACCAGCCAAGUAGCGUGAAGGAUGACUGCCCUAUGGGUUGUAAACUUCUUUUAUAUGGGAAUAAAGUGUUCCACGUGUGGGUUUUUGUAUGUACUUUAUGAAUAAGGAUCGGCUAACUCCGUGCCAGCAGCCGCGGUAAUACGGAGGAUCCGAGCGUUAUCCGGAUUUAUUGGGUUUAAAGGGAGCGUAGGUGGGUUGUUAAGUCAGUUGUGAAAGUUUGCGGCUCAACCGUAAAAUUGCAAUUGAAACUGGCAGUCUUGAGUACAGUAGAGGUAGGCGGAAUUCGUGGUGUAGCGGUGAAAUGCUUAGAUAUCACGAAGAACUCCGAUUGCGAAGGCAGCUCACUAGACUGCCACUGACAUUGAGGCUCGAAAGUGUGGGUAUCAAACAGGAUUAGAUACCCGGGUAGUC